rnacentral:rRNA from 1 species
AAGCCAUGCAUGCCCGCGCACCCGGGAGGCGGCGGACGGCUCAGGACAACGGUUGCACCCCCCGCGGCGGUCCCUGCUAGCCGGACACCGCUGGCAACCCGGCGCCAAGACGUGCGCGCAAGGGCGGGCGCCCGCGGGCGAGCAGCGUGACGCAGCGACGGCCCGCCCGGGCUUCCGGGGCAUCACCCGGUCGGCGCGGUCGCGGCGCGCCGAGGGCCC